AGAAUCAUUCACAAUGGGCGAAAGCCUGAUGGUGCGACGCCGCGUGGAGGAUGACAGCCCUAGGGUUGUAAACUCCUGUCAUGAGAGAGUAAAGACUUAACGUUAAUACCGUUGGGUCCUGAUAGUAUCUCAAGAGGAAGGGACGGCUAACUUCGUGCCAGCAGCCGCGGUAAUACGAAGGUCCCAAGCGUUGUUCGGAAUUACUGGGCGUAAAGCGUGCGUAGGUGGCAUGGUAAGUCAGAUGUGAAAUCCCGGGGCUCAACCCCGGAACUGCAUCCGAUACUGCCAAGCUAGAGUAGUGGAGGGGAGUCUGGAAUUCACGGUGUAGCAGUGAAAUGCGUAGAUAUCGUGAGGAACACUAGUGGCGAAGGCGAGACUCUGGACACUAACUGACACUGAGGCACGAAGGCUAGGGUAGCGAAAGGGAUUAGAUACCCCUGUAGUCCUAGCAGUAAACGGUGCGCGUUUGGUGUGGGCGGGUUCGACCCCGUCCGUGCCGAAGCUAACGCGUUAAACGCGCCGCCUGGGGAGUACGGCCGCAAGGCUAAAACUCAAAGAAAUUGACGGGGACCCGCACAAGCGGUGGAGUAUGUGGCUUAAUUCGAUGCAACGCGAAGAACCUUACCUAGGCUUGACAUGCUUGUCGUAGUUCUGUGAAAGCAGAUCGUCAGUUCGGCUGGACUUGCACAGGUGCUGCAUGGCUGUCGUCAGCUCGUGUCGUGAGAUGUUGGGUUAAGUCCCGCAACGAGCGCAACCCCUAUGAUUAGUUGCCAGCGAGUAAUGUCGGGGACUCUAGUCAGACUGCCUGUAUUAAACAGGAGGAAGGUGGGGACGACGUCAAGUCAGUAUGGCCCUUACGCCUAGGGCUGCACACGUACUACAAUGCCCAGUACAAUGUGAACCGAUACCGUAAGGUGGAGGAAAUCCUUAAAACUGGGCUCAGUUCGGAUUGUGGGCUGCAACUCGCCCACAUGAAGCUGGAAUCGCUAGUAAUGGCACAUCAGCUACGGUGCCGUGAAUACGUUCCCGGGUCUUGUACACACCGCCCGUCACAUCAUGGAAGCCGCUCGCACCCGAAGUACCUCUAUAGGGUCCUAAGGUGUAGGUGGUAACUGGGAUGAAGUCGUAACAAGGUAGCCGUAGGGGAACCUGCGGCUG
rnacentral:rRNA from 1 species